GAGACCUCAGGUCGGGCGGGGCUACCCGCUGAAUU
rnacentral:rRNA from 1 species